CCUACGGGUGGCAGCAGUGAGGAAUAUUGGUCAAUGGACGCAAGUCUGAACCAGCCAUGCCGCGUGCAGGAUGACGGCUCUAUGAGUUGUAAACUGCUUUUAUACGGGAGUAAAAGGUUACACGUGUAUCUUUCUGUAUGUAUCGUAUGAAUAAGGAUCGGCUAACUCCGUGCCAGCAGCCGCGGUAAUACGGAGGAUUCGAGCGUUAUCCGGAUUUAUUGGGUUUAAAGGGUGCGUAGGAGGUGGGAUAAGUUAGUGGUGAAAGAUCGAGGCUCAACUUCAGAAUUGCAUCUGAUACUGGUAGGCUAGAGAGUAGUAGCGGUAGGCGGAAGUCAUGGUGUAGCGGUGAAAUGCUUAGAUAUCAUACAGAACACCGAUUGCGAAGGCAGCUCAC
rnacentral:rRNA from 1 species